rnacentral:tRNA from 1 species
GAAAUAUAGGCUAUAUCUAAACCGUGGGCCUUCAAAGCCCAAACUGUGAACCAUUCACUAUUCUGCUCUCUAAGAC